rnacentral:rRNA from 1 species
GGAGUUAGCCGGUGCUUCUUCUGUGAGUGAUGUCCUUCCUGCCGGUUAUUGACCCGCAGGCCUUCUUCCUCACUGAAAGUGCUUUACAACCCGAAGGCCUUCUUCACACACGCGGCAUGGCUGGAUCAGGGUUGCCCCCAUUGUCCAAUAUUCCCCACUGCUGCCUCCCGUAGGAGUCUGGGCCGUGUCUCAGUCCCAGUGUGGCUGAUCAUCCUCUCAGACCAGCUACGGAUCGUCGCCUUGGUGAGCCGUUACCUCACCAACCAGCUAAUCCGACAUAGGCUCAUCCGAUAGCGCGAGGCCCGAAGGUCCCCCGCUUUCCCCCGUAGGGCGUAUGCGGUAUUAGCCUGGGUUUCCCCAGGUUAUCCCCCACUACCCGGGCAGAUUCCUAUGCAUUACUCACCCGUCCGCCGCUCGCCACCAGGGAGCAAGCUCCCCGUGCUGCCGCUCGACUUGCAUGUGUUAGGCCUGCCGCCAGCGUUCAAUCUGAGCCAGGAUCAAAACUCUGA